rnacentral:lncRNA from 1 species
AUGGCUGAAGGAGUCAAAUCUGCCUCCCACGCUGCAGCCACUGGGUCCAGUGACGGAGCAGCAGCGCCACAGACGAGCUCUCUCAGAUCCAAAGGUCUGGGGCUGCUCAACAAGGUGAAAAUGUCUGUUGAGCUGCUGAUUGCCCUUGCUGCUCUCCUGUCCUGGCUGGUUGUAGGUGUGGUGAUGUUUGACUUUGUCGAGUACAAAGCAGUCCCCAGUAAGCCACAAAAUCUAAAAAUGUAUGUCCCCAAGUCUUUUAAGAUAUCAGUUAUGCAGAAUCUGACCAACAUGUUUGCUAUCAUCGUUAGACGUCCAGCAGAUCAUAACGGACCCUGUCCAGGCCGUGAACGAUGCAGCUGAUGAGUUGUCCAGUCUGCUCAAUAAGUUUCAAGGUAGUGGGGAAUUUAUCUUGGCACAGUUUAUAUUUGUGUAAGCUCUCUAAUGCAUGACUCGCUGUACUUUUGCAGAAUGCGCACCGGAUUUAAGUGACCCCAUGUCAGCUGCCAGAUAUGCAGCUGAGGAAAUAUCAGAAGCAAAAGAUGGGUUUGUUCGAUAUUUGUCAGAUGAAGAAGGUAUGACCACUCACUCCUACCAAAACAAGCAAAAGAACAAAAACAAAGACUGCUUAGUAAGUACAGAAUAAUCUUUCUGAAACCACAGGGAACUUCUACCUCAGCUACAUUGACCCUGUGGUCAUUGGUAGACAAGCUUUCCAUUCAACGAAUGACUUCAUAGGUGGAGCACUGGGUUCCUUCAGGGACACACUGUGUGCUGUUGUGGAUACGUCACUGGAAACCAUACAAGAUAUUAAAAAAGGUAUGUAAUUUAUACUUGAAUCCUUUUUUUCUGACUCAAGACUGUUUUUCUCUUGUUUCACAUACAAUUAAUGAAUGAAUAAAUCUGUCUUUUUUUAAAUACUUGAACUAAACUUUAACUCCCUCGCUGGUUUGUAACUGCCUGGUUGAAUCAUUAAUUAAUUCAUGCAGAAUUUACUUACAAAUGCACUUAUUUUUCUUUUUUUUUCAUCCAGGAAAAACUGAUCUUAGCUAUAUUGACCCUGUAAUGAUAGGCAGAGGUGUCUUUAAUGCUACUAAUGAGUUCAUGUGUGGAGUGGCGAGCUACAUCCAGGAUGUGCUCUGUUCCAUACUGGACACUACACUGAAUGUAGUGAAAGGUAUUUACGCUCUCUCGUUUAACCUAUAACCUCUUAAAAACGACAUAAACAAUAUAUCAAUUUAGGGAGUUUGCUUUGCAUAUUUUCUGUCCUUAUUCACUUCCUGUUUGUGUUUCUCAG